rnacentral:rRNA from 1 species
GAUGAACGCUGGCGGCGUGCCUAAUACAUGCAAGUCGAGCGAACAGACGAGGCGCUUGCUCCUCUGACGUUAGCGGAGGACGGGUGAGUAACACGUGGAUCACCUACCUAUAAGACUGGGAUAACUUCGGGAAACCGGAGCUAAUACCGGAUAAUCUAUUGAACCGCAUGGUUCGAUAGUGAAAGACGGCUUUGCUGUCUCUUAUAGAUGGAUCCGCGCCGGAUUAGCUAGUUGGUAAGGUAACGGCUUACCACGGCAACGAUGCGUAGCCGACCUGAGAGGGGGAUCGGCCACCCUGGAACUGAGACACGGUCCAGACUCCUACGGGAGGCAGCAGUAGGGAAUCUGCCGCAAUGGGCGAAAGCCUGACGGAGCAACGCCGCGUGAGUGGUGAAGGUGUUCGGAUCGUAAAACUCUGUUAUUAGGGAAGAACAAAUGUGUAAGUAACUAUGCACGUCUUGACGGUACCUAAUCAGAAAGCCACGGCUAACUACGUG